rnacentral:rRNA from 1 species
GGAUUAGAUACCCUGGUAGUCCACGCCGUAAACGAUGCAUACUAGAUAUUGGAGGUAUUGACCCCUUCAGUGUCGUAGCUAACGCAAUAAGUAUGCCGCCUGGGAAGUACGGUCGCAAGACUAAAACUCAAAGGAAUUGACGGGGGCCCGCACAAGCGGUGGAUUAUGUGGUUUAAUUCGAAGCAACGCGCAGAACCUUACCUAGGCUUGAAAUCCUGAAAAGAUCGACGAAAAUUGAUUGUGCCCUUCGGGGAAUUCAGUGACAGGCGCUGCAUGGCUGUCGUCAGCUCGUGCUG